rnacentral:rRNA from 1 species
UACGUAGGCAGCGAGCGUUGUUCGGAGUUACUGGGCGUAAAGCGCGUGUAGGCGGCUAUGCAAGUCGGAUGUGAAAGCCCUCGGCUCAACCGGGGGAAGUGCACCCGAAACUGCAAAGCUAGAGUCUCGGAGAGGAUCGUGGAAUUCUCGGUGUAGAGGUGAAAUUCGUAGAUAUUCGCAAGAACACCAGUGGCGAAGGCGGCUCACUGGCCCGGUA